AACAUUGUGUGAGUUGUUGCUCACUCUCACUCUUUCUGCUUGGGAGCCACGUAAGCGAAACGUGGCACAUUCUUAGGUCCCAAGUCUGCACCAGCAGCAAGAAAGCAGCGGGCAGCGGCAAAGCAGCAAAACGAAGCACCGUUGCCGCAGCUUCAAUUCAAUAGCUCCGCCUGAAUUUACCUUUUUCAGAGGCAUAUUCUCAAACACUUUAUGCAGCUGAAUUACCAGACACCGCUGGAGAAGGUUAUUAUAUGAACACUCAAACUGUCUUUUUCAUUUCGUUGUUGUAUCCCAUCAGCAGCCGAUGAGGAGUAUCAUUUCAUGCCUUAAACGACGGCGUCUUGCAGUGCUGUCCCCAACUCUGCGCUUUGGCUGCUCAAUUGAGACUGCUUUGUGCGAAUACUCAUCCAGUAGUUUCCCUGAGGUUAUUCUAACUGGAAAGCAUGACAAUUUUGUGGGAUCAUAUUUGUCAGCCCCAAAAUACUUUUCUACUGGUUUUUCCAGUGUGCAUGGGGAAAGGCCAACUGCUGAGUAUGCUAAGUUGAGGAAAGAAUCACUAGAAAGCGAAUUUGGUCAUGCACUUACUUAUAAGUCGAAAAGUCUUUCGUCAUUAUAUCGUUUUGGCCCAUUCUUGGCUUUGUACAGAGCAACCAUUAUCUCAUUCUAUGUGUUGAAGCUAACCAUUUGGCGCUUAUUUGUCCAUGACAUAAGAAGACGUGCUGUUAAGUUCCGUGAAACUCUUAUCCGCUUGGGCCCUUUCUACAUAAAGCUGGGACAAGCUUUAAGCACAAGGCCAGAUAUAUUACCGAAAGUGUAUUGUCAAGAACUUGCAAAGUUGCAGGAUCAAAUCCCCCCAUUUCCAACUCAUGUUGCAAGAAGAUCUAUCGAGUCCCAAUUGGGUGUUGGCGUUUCACAAGUAUUUGCUGACAUUAGCAAGGAGCCAAUUGCCGCAGCAUCUCUGGGGCAAGUAUAUAAAGCUCAUUUGCAUUCUGGAGAGCUUGUGGCUGUUAAGGUCCAGAGGCCUCAUAUGUCACAUUUACUGACGCUUGAUGCUAUGUUAUUUCACAUGAUUGGUGGCCAACUAAAAAGAUUUGCAAAAGCUCGUAAGGAUCUCUUAGUAGCUGUCAAUGAGAUGGUGAGACACAUGUUUGAAGAAAUUGACUACAUCCUGGAAGCACAAAAUGCUGAAAGAUUUGCAUCUCUUUAUGCAUGCAGUCAUAAAGAGAAAAUUGUCCCAGGGAGUGCAGCAACUGAUAAUGUCGCGUGUCAGAAAAAUGAUGGUAUCAAGGUCCCUAAAAUAUAUUGGAACUUUACUCGUAAGGAGGUGCUUACGAUGGAAUGGAUAGAUGGGAUUAAGCUGACAAAUGAAAGUCGUCUGAGGAAGGCAAAUCUAAAUAGGAGGAGACUUAUUGACCAUGGGUUAUACUGCUCAUUGAGACAGUUGCUGGAGGUGGGGUUUUUCCAUGCUGAUCCUCAUCCUGGGAACCUUGUUGCUACUGAGGACGGAGCUCUUGCCUAUUUUGAUUUUGGCAUGAUGGGAGACAUUCCACGCCAUUAUCGUGUUGGACUUAUUAAAGUGCUUGUUCAUUUCGUUAAUCGAGACUCUAUGGGUUUAGCAAAUGACUUUCUUUCACUGGGAUUUCUACCUGAUGGAGUAGACAUUCAAUCUGUUUCAGACGCUUUGCAAGCGUCCUUUGGUGAUGGAACCAGACAAUCCCAAGAUUUCCAGUAUCCAAAAGUUCCCUGGAAGAAACUGAUUUUGGCUAAAGGUCUACUCCCUAGGCAUCAUUUUGUUGCGGCUAGUGUUGCAGAAUAGACUGUCAACAGUGGAUAGACUCAGGAGAUGGGGUAUUCAAGUUCCUACAGACUGUCUUAUGUUCUUCCAAUGCUGAGGAGACCCAUUGACACUUGUUUUUUUUGAGUAUUCUUACUCCAAAUGUACCUGGCUUACAUUGCUCUCAUGGAUGGGCAUAGGUAGACAGAUUGGCGACUGGGAUACAGAGCUGUGUAUCAUAUCUGGGUAGAGAGGAACUAUCGAAGAUUUAAGCCGAUAGAGAGGGAGAGUGGUGACAGGCUCAAAGAAAUUGUCUUGCAGUUGCAUAUUGUGGGACAGAGCAAUGCAAAAUUAGAGCAGCUGAAUAGAUUUCCUUGUUAGUAGGUAUAGCUUGCAGCUAUAUGAAGAGGCUGUGUCUUAUACCCUUCCUAAAAGGGCAUAAUGAAUCAAUUGUAUGAUGUGAUGUAUGAGUUCAACUUUUCUCUUCCUCCUGACUAUGCUUUGGUGAUACGAGCACUUGGAU